UUAAGCGACUAAGCGUACACGGUGGAUGCCCUGGCAGUCAGAGGCGAUGAAGGACGUGCUAAUCUGCGAAAAGCGUCGGUAAGGUGAUAUGAACCGUUAUAACCGGCGAUGUCCGAAUGGGGAAACCCAGUGUGAUUCGUCACACUAUCGUUAACUGAAUACAUAGGUUAACGAGGCGAACCGGGGGAACUGAAACAUCUAAGUACCCCGAGGAAAAGAAAUCAACCGAGAUUCCCCCAGUAGCGGCGAGCGAACGGGGAGCAGCCCAGAGUCUGAAUCAGCUUGUGUGUUAGUGGAACGGUCUGGAAAGUCCGACGGUACAGGGUGAUAGUCCCGUACACCAAAAUGCACAGGUUGUGAACUCGAAGAGUAGGGCGGGACACGUGGUAUCCUGUCUGAAUAUGGGGGGACCAUCCUCCAAGGCUAAAUACUCCUGACUGACCGAUAGUGAACCAGUACCGUGAGGGAAAGGCGAAAAGAACCCCGGCGAGGGGAGUGAAAAAGAACCUGAAACCGUGUACGUACAAGCAGUGGGAGCACCUUCGGGUGUGACUGCGUACCUUUUGUAUAAUGGGUCAGCGACUUAUAUUCUGUAGCAAGGUUAACCGUAUAGGGGAGCCGCAGGGAAACCGAGUCUUAACUGGGCGUUAAGUUGCAGGGUAUAGACCCGAAACCCGGUGAUCUAGCCAUGGGCAGGUUGAAGGUUGGGUAACACUAACUGGAGGACCGAACCGACUAAUGUUGAAAAAUUAGCGGAUGACUUGUGGCUGGGGGUGAAAGGCCAAUCAAACCGGGAGAUAGCUGGUUCUCCCCGAAAGCUAUUUAGGUAGCGCCUCGUGAACUCAUCUUCGGGGGUAGAGCACUGUUUCGGCUAGGGGGUCAUCCCGACUUACCAACCCGAUGCAAACUACGAAUACCGAAGAAUGUUAUCACGGGAGACACACGGCGGGUGCUAACGUCCGUCGUGAAGAGGGAAACAACCCAGACCGCCAGCUAAGGUCCCAAAGUCAUGGUUAAGUGGGAAACGAUGUGGGAAGGCACAGACAGCCAGGAUGUUGGCUUAGAAGCAGCCAUCAUUUAAAGAAAGCGUAAUAGCUCACUGGUCGAGUCGGCCUGCGCGGAAGAUGUAACGGGGCUAAACCAUGCACCGAAGCUGCGGCAGCGACACUAUGUGUUGUUGGGUAGGGGAGCGUUCUGUAAGCCUGCGAAGGUGACCUGUGAGGGUUGCUGGAGGUAUCAGAAGUGCGAAUGCUGACAUAAGUAACGAUAAAGCGGGUGAAAAGCCCGCUCGCCGGAAGACCAAGGGUUCCUGUCCAACGUUAAUCGGGGCAGGGUGAGUCGACCCCUAAGGCGAGGCCGAAAGGCGUAGUCGAUGGGAAACAGGUUAAUAUUCCUGUACUUGGUGUUACUGCGAAGGGGGGACGGAGAAGGCUAUGUUAGCCGGGCGACGGUUGUCCCGGUUUAAGCAUGUAGGCUGGUUGUCCAGGCAAAUCCGGAUAAUCAAGGCUGAGGUGUGAUGACGAGGCACUACGGUGCUGAAGUAACAAAUGCCCUGCUUCCAGGAAAAGCCUCUAAGCAUCAGGUAACAUUAAAUCGUACCCCAAACCGACACAGGUGGUCAGGUAGAGAAUACCAAGGCGCUUGAGAGAACUCGGGUGAAGGAACUAGGCAAAAUGGUGCCGUAACUUCGGGAGAAGGCACGCUGGUGUGUAGGUGAAGCCCAUGCGGGUGGAGCUGAGACCAGUCGAAGAUACCAGCUGGCUGCAACUGUUUAUUAAAAACACAGCACUGUGCAAACACGAAAGUGGACGUAUACGGUGUGACGCCUGCCCGGUGCCGGAAGGUUAAUUGAUGGGGUUAUCCGUAAGGAGAAGCUCUUGAUCGAAGCCCCGGUAAACGGCGGCCGUAACUAUAACGGUCCUAAGGUAGCGAAAUUCCUUGUCGGGUAAGUUCCGACCUGCACGAAUGGCGUAAUGAUGGCGGGCUGUCUCCACCCGAGACUCAGUGAAAUUGAACUCGCUGUGAAGAUGCAGUGUACCCGCGGCAAGACGGAAAGACCCCGUGAACCUUUACUAUAGCUUGACACUGAACAUUGAGCCUUGAUGUGUAGGAUAGGUGGGAGGCUUUGAAGCGUGGACGCCAGUCUGCGUGGAGCCAACCUUGAAAUACCACCCUUUAAUGUUUGAUGUUCUAACGUUGGCCCCUUAUCGGGGUUGCGGACAGUGUCUGGUGGGUAGUUUGACUGGGGCGGUCUCCUCCCAAAGCGUAACGGAGGAGCACGAAGGUUAGCUAAUCCUGGUCGGACAUCAGGAGGUUAGUGCAAUGGCAUAAGCUAGCUUGACUGCGAGCGUGACGGCGCGAGCAGGUGCGAAAGCAGGUCAUAGUGAUCCGGUGGUUCUGAAUGGAAGGGCCAUCGCUCAACGGAUAAAAGGUACUCCGGGGAUAACAGGCUGAUACCGCCCAAGAGUUCAUAUCGACGGCGGUGUUUGGCACCUCGAUGUCGGCUCAUCACAUCCUGGGGCUGAAGUAGGUCCCAAGGGUAUGGCUGUUCGCCAUUUAAAGUGGUACGCGAGCUGGGUUUAGAACGUCGUGAGACAGUUCGGUCCCUAUCUGCCGUGGGCGCUGGAGAAUUGAGGGGGGCUGCUCCUAGUACGAGAGGACCGGAGUGGACGCAUCACUGGUGUUCGGGUUGUCAUGCCAAUGGCACUGCCCGGUAGCUAAAUGCGGAAGAGAUAAGUGCUGAAAGCAUCUAAGCACGAAACUUGCCCCGAGAUGAGUUCUCCCUGAGACUUUAAGUCUCCUGAAGGAACGUUAAAGACGAUGACGUUGAUAGGCCGGGUGUGUAAGCGCAGCGAUGCGUUGAGCUAACCGGUACUAAUGAACCGUGAGGCUUAACCU
rnacentral:rRNA from 1 species